AUUGAACGCUGGCGGCAUACCUUACACAUGCAAGUCGAACGGCAGCACGGGGGCAACCCUGGUGGCGAGUGGCGAACGGGUGAGUAAUGCAUCGGAACGUGCCCCGUAGCGGGGGAUAACCAGUCGAAAGACUGGCUAAUACCGCAUACGCUCCACGGAGGAAAGCAGGGGAUCGCAAGACCUUGCACUAUGGGAGCGGCCGAUGCCCGAUUAGCUAGUUGGUGAGGAAAGGCUCACCAAGGCGACGAUCGGUAGCUGGUUUGAGAGAACGACCAGCCACACUGGGACUGAGACACGGCCCAGACUCCUACGGGAGGCAGCAGUGGGGAAUUUUGGACAAUGGGCGCAAGCCUGAUCCAGCCAUGCCGCGUGCAGGAAGAAAGCCUUCUGGGUUGUAAACUGCUUUUGCCAGGGAUAAAUAUCUGUGCGCAGAUAAUUGAAGGUACCUGGUGAAUAAG
rnacentral:rRNA from 1 species